rnacentral:rRNA from 1 species
CCCUACGGGGGGCAGCAGUGAGGAAUAUUGGUCAAUGGGCGAGAGCCUGAACCAGCCAAGUCGCGUGAAGGAUGAAGGAUCUAUGGUUUGUAAACUUCUUUUAUAUGGGAAUAAAGUGAGGAACGUGUUCCUUUUUGUAUGUACCAUAUGAAUAAGCAUCGGCUAACUCCGUGCCAGCAGCCGCGGUAAUACGGAGGAUGCGAGCGUUAUCCGGAUUUAUUGGGUUUAAAGGGUGCGUAGGCGGGCUUUUAAGUCAGCGGUAAAAAUUCGGGGCUCAACCCCGUCCGGCCGUUGAAACUGGGGGC